GUGUCAGCAGCCGCGGUAAUACGGAGGGUGCGAGCGUUGUUCGGAUUUAUUGGGCGUAAAGCGCGUGUAGGCGGCUUCUUAAGUCUGAUGUGAAAGCCCUGGGCUCAACCCGGGAAGUGCAUUGGAAACUGGGAAACUUGAAUACGGGAGAGGGUAGUGGAAUUCCUGGUGUAGGAGUGAAAUCCGUAGAUAUCAGGAGGAACACCGGUGGCGAAGGCGGCUACCUGGACCGAUAUUGACGCUGAGACGCGAAAGCGUGGGGAGCAAACAGGAUUAGAUACCCUCGUAGUCC
rnacentral:rRNA from 1 species